ACUAUUUCAUAAAGAGAAGAACUCAGAAAGUGGAUUCAGGAAACACAGGAAGAGGAGUCCUGGAGUAUCUCUAGAAAUUUCUCGGUAAAAUCCACAGGACCAGUAUCUGCCACAAUAAGAUGGGCGGCAGCAGCUGUAUCCAUACCCACCGGAGACAGAGCCACGGCCACAGCCAGAACCACAGCCAAGGCCGCCACAGUAGUUACUGUAGUAGCAGCACAAGGUGCCAGCAAUUAAAGGUUCCGUUGAUGGUGGGAACCAGUGUCCUCAAUCCGAAUGCCACCGUCUUCCAGGGCUUUUAUGUAUCUUCAGUGAUGGCUAGAGCAAACCACAGCCAACAGAGAAACGAACUCCAGCAUGGACAUCAUCAAGGCAGUCGCUGUGACACCAUCAUCCUGAUGAGGGCGGAACUGUGGGGCCACAGGUGAAUUUCUCCAUCUUCCACUCCACGAGGUGGAUUGACAUCCUCUACAGAAAGAUGUUCAGUAACAGCGGCAGUUACAGAAAUCCUUGCCUUAUUUCAGUGUUCAUUCCUGAAGUAUACACAUGCUUUUAACAUUGACGAUAAAACUUAAUAGUACACUUAAGCUGAAGCAAUCAUCUUGAACAAUAUAGAGAUAAAGAAUGGUUAGUUUUCCUAUAACAAAAUGUUCAUGGAGUUAUUUAAUAAUAAAAGUUAUGUCUCUAUCUUUUUCA
rnacentral:lncRNA from 1 species